UUAGGAAUUUUGCGCAAUGGGCGAAAGCCUGACGCAGCCAUGCCGCGUGCAGGAAGAAGGCGCUACGCGUUGUAAACUGCUUUUAUCCGGGAAGAAACCCCAGGACGUGUCCUGGGUUGACGGUACCGGAGGAAUAAGCACCGGCUAACUUCGUGCCAGCAGCCGCGGUAAUACGAAGGGUGCAAGCGUUAUCCGGAUUCAUUGGGUUUAAAGGGUGCGUAGGCGGAGCGUUAAGUCAGUGGUGAAAUC
rnacentral:rRNA from 1 species